rnacentral:lncRNA from 1 species
CUCCACCUUCCGAUCCACAUCGUGAAGGAACACGUGCGUCACACCGGAUCCCCGCCUCCUCCUCGCCAUGACAGCCGCAGAGAAUAUAGCCCCCAUCCGCCCCGGCGCUUCCGGGAAAUACCCGCGCGGCGCAUCGACCAUGAUCAGGUCCCACUCCUUGUCGUACACGUCGUCCGGCAGGUUGUCCAGCGCCAGCCUGCACUCGGUAUUUCCGCGCAGGACGGCCUCGGACGGGGAGCACGACCGUUGGGAGCGGUACGAGGAGAGGAGCUCGUCCGCCUCCUUGAGCUGCGUGCGGUAGCGCACCGUCUCCGCCCGCAGCUGGGGGGCGUCCUUGAGGACUGUCUGGACCCACUUGGGGUCCUCCUCCAGGAAGAGCGUCGUGCCUCGUGGAUUCAGGGAGGCCCACAUAAGGGAGUCGAAGCCUAGGCCGAACACGAGGAAGUUGCAGGGGGAGCGGGACUUGAGGACCUCGAAGGACACAGUGAUCUCGUCUCGCGACUGCUGCGGGGUCUGGCUCGACGUGGCGUAGUGGAGGAUGGCCUGGAGCUGGAUGGCCGCCGGGGCAUCGUCGACGGCGCGGAGAAAUGUGGGUCCGGCGAUGGAGUAGAAGACGGAGUUGCCAUCCUGGAAGAAGCUGGAGAUCGCUAACCCCGCGCCGAUCAGUAGAACCAGAAUGACGACGAGAAACACGGGUCUCUCCGACAAUGGACUCCGAUUCUUCAUGUUAAUUUUUUAAUAAUAUUUAAGAAAAAUAAAAAAGUGAAAAUGUAAAAGGGUAAAUCUGCAUAAUAUAUAUGUCGAUUGAGAUUUUAGGUUCCGACGUGCGGUGGUUUAUAUAAAGCUGGGGAAUGGGAAUGGGAAGAAGGGGAAGGGGAAGGUAAUUUAAGCAGAGAUUGGUAGGGGAGCCUUUGGAGUGUUAGGGGAGAGAGACGCAGAUGAGUUGACGUAAAGAAUUGAAGGGGCUUAUCUUGUAGGAUAGGAGAGUAGUGUCCGAUUGGCUUUUGGGGUGCCAUGUGGCAUGCAGAAUCUGAGAGUGGGCCCUUCAUUCCUUCCAGGUCCAGUUGUUGAGCUUAUCUGGAAAAAUCCCGUGGCUUAGAUUGCAAGUCAGAGCCACCAGCGGCGAAACCAGUAACUGACGCGGGGGGGAGGCAAAUUUAAAAAAUUGUAAAGUUAAAAAAAAUAGCAACAACCAAAUCCUUUUAAACAGUAAUGUCUUCUAUAAUUUAAGCAUUGUUUGAAGGAGGAUUUGAGCAUUGUUAGUAUCGUUUCAUUACGUAACUAUAAAAUGGAAGGGAAAAUAAUAAUUCUUACACUCUUAAUCCUAGAGUAGACUAUAUUAAUAUGUAUAAUAAUUAAUCCAACCAACAAUUCAAUUAAGCAAUACCAAUAAGCACACAAAUUAUUCAAUAAAUAAAAUAUUCAAUUCAACUAAUCAUAUGAAUACUUGUAUACAUUAUGUAAUAUUCAAUUAAUUAAUCAAUAAUCAAGAAUUCAAAUUUUAAUUUUCACCCUAAAAAAUAAUUUUAAUUUCAUAUCAAUAAUCAUAGAAUCAGAUCAAUAAUCAAUAAUCAUAUUAGUACAUUACCAUAAAAUUAUAUACCAAUCAAAUAAAAUUUGUAUUAAAUAAUUAAUUAGUUUAGGGUUAGGAAUUGUAAAAUUAGGAAUUAAAAAUUUCACCUUUGAAGGCUGAAGCCGGCGGCUCAACGACUCGAGAAGUGGAGAGUGGCUGAAAGGUUGACAAUUCAAUUCAAAUUAAAAAAUAUAUAUCUUCUGUUGCGAGGGACAACUUUGUUGUGCUCUCUGGCAGAAAGGUUGAAAAACAAAGGGGGGAAGGACACAGGACUGAGAGUCUGAGAGGGACUGAGAGUGAAAGGGGGACGCACGGUCCCCCCAAUAUAUAUAUAUUUUAUUUCGAAACAUACGAAACUGCACCGUUUCAAUUUUUUUUUACCAGGACCAAAAUGACGUCGUUUUGGCCUGGAUGAUUUGAAAAGAAAAAAAACACAGUCUGCUAUUACGUGCAGCAAAACCCAAACAUCACCGGACCGCAGGGAGCUCUGAACUACUGAACCAAUGGGUUUUUUGGCGAGUGGAGGGGUGGACCCAUAAAUCUAGUCAUGUUUUCCGGUGAGGGGAGUGGUCCACUUCUCGCCCUCACAUGGCUUCGCCACUGGAGCCACCAAUAUACUUGAAAAUUGAUUGCAACCAAUGAGGGCAUCGUAUAACACCAAUAUACCUGAAAAUUGUCGUAGUACUCGUUGCUACAAACGCAUGGGCGCAAGUAGAAUCGAAAUCGGAGCUACGGUUAAAAUUUUACAGACUUACGAACGUGAAAGGCAACUUGGUAAUUUCAUGGUUAGAGAUAUUUUGUGACUUGUUUUGUGAGCCAAGUAUGGCCCACACCCAUUCCUUUACCCUCUCUCGUGUUCCCCUACCACUCUCUCUCAUUUGUCAAUCCUCACCUCAAUCUUCCACUCAUGGAUUGCCAUCUCACCCUCCCCCUCUAACUCUCUCACCUCUCAGCCUUCUCUUAUCUCUCCCAGUUUUCCCCUCUCACUCUAACUCACUCUAUCAUUCUCUCUCUCUCACCGACACCACCAUCGAACAUCACUCAAACCCAACAACGUACAAGGGAACCGGCUGCUCACCAGAUAUACAUCAUCAACUCUCCUAUAUGAAGACACAAAUGAACCCUGGAGGCAUCACACCUUGCAAUGGCUUACGCCAUUGUUCAUUUUUAUUCCUAAACGGAAUCCGGCGAGAUCCUUACUUCCAACGUGGGUAGGCAUCGGGAAAACCCAUAUCUCUUCCUUUUACGUCAUUUGGUGUCAAAUUUAGGUGUGAUGAAUGAUGUUUGAACGCAGAACCACGUCGAGGCAACAAACCCAUUUUUUCGGCAAGGUUCCGGUGGCUUUCGAGCCUUUUUUUUACCAAAUGUGGCCACGGUUGAGGAACUAAUGGUACAAUUUGAUUCCUUGUUCUAUGAGCUUCAAUUUGAUAUAUUGGAAGGCUAGGUUUAGUGAAGUUUUAGUUGAUAGUAGUCGGAGAUCAUUCAUUUUCCAGAUUUCGGCGGUUGCAUUGCAGUGGCAACAGGCAGGAGAAAAAGGAAAAGAAAAAAAAACAAACAAAAAGAAAGGAAGCCUAGAUCCGUAACCCGGAUCCGGAUACAAACCCGGAAUCUGGUCCGGCCCAGUUUUAAAUGGGUGGAAUAUUCCAAAAUAUUUCUGAAAUAUUCUUUAGAAUAUUCCUCAAAUAUUCCUUGUGUUGAUUUUUUUCGAAAUUUUCUCGGAAACCCUCAUAGGCUAAAUUCGACAUCCCGAGUUCCUUUUUUACAUCCAUUUAGUGAAAUUCCAAAGUUUUAACGUAGUUGACCACUGGGGCGUCUCAGUUGACUUUUAAGGUUGACCGUUGACUUUUUCGUCGACUUUUUACAAAUUUAGCACGCGAUCCCUCUUACCGUAUUUCAACGCUAUGAUUCCACAUCCGCACUUCUUUUUCCCAAAUUUGAUCAUUUAAGUUGAGUUUAACUAACGGAUCCCAAUAUUAUGCUUAGGUACGAUUACUAUGGGAGACUCCAUCUUGCUGCGACAUCGUAAAUAUCUGUGAGUGAGUCUUUUCUUUUAUAUAGUAUAUAUAUUGUUUAUACCAUAUUUAGGGUCUCGUAUUUAGAUCUCGUACAAAUACUCGGGGGACUUAAAUGUAAUUAUGUGAUAAAGGAAUUGGCACAUAGGUAAUAAGUGAGGAGCCCUUAUUCUAUAAAAUGACUCGUCACCCUCACAAUGAGGAGAGGCCAUUUCCUAAGCCUCUCCUAGCUAAAGCAAAGCUCUCACACUCUCUCCCUCACAAAUACUCUCAGAGAAAUACAAUCAGUGUGGACGUAGUCCAAACCUUAGGGUGAACCACGAUACUUCUCGUGUUAUUUACAUUUCUUGCAGAUUCACGGUCGGAUUUACGUUGUUCCAAGACCUCCGAUUUUGUGCAUCAACAUUUGGCGCCGUCUGUGGGAAUCGAUACGAAAAGUUGUGUCGAUUCUCUUUCAUUUUUUUCACCUUCACCGUGAAUCAGCAAAAAUCACAAAAAAAAAAACCCAAAAACAAAAAGAAAAAGAAACCUGCUCCGUCUGCAUUCUUUUAUUUUUGGGGGCAAUCUACUCUGUAUACAGAAUCAGGAAUCAAAUCUCUCAUCUCUAUGUCUGAUAGUUUCUCUCCCAGAAUCAAAGCUCUCAUCCCUUUGUCUAGUGGUCUCUCUCCCAAAAAUUAUUCGACACACCCAGAGGGCGUGUGAAACUAUGUCUUACAAAUACAAACAAGGUUGUACACCCAGGAUAGCCCAAAACUACUUCGUGCACGUCGCUCCAUAGUCCCUCCCCCUUCCGAGCUAGGCCCAUCAUAGGCCUUUGAACGGCUCAAGAUCGAGUAGGCCGGCCUCUCUGUUGCUGGGUUAGCUGAACCCGACUGAAAUCUGAUCUGGGUAUGCCGUGAGAGAACAAGCCCGCCAGCCUGCUUCACAAGACUAUCAUUAAACAGUUUUGGGCACUGUCUCUCUCUCUCUUGAUCUCAUCUCUCUCUCUAAAAAUCAUCGACAAUGGGUGUGUGUCCAAACUUCGAGCCGUCGAUCGAGAUCAACCAUCAUCAGACCAUUAAAACGGUGUUGUGCGCUCAAAUCUCUCUGCAUCACCUGCAACAGCUCUUCCUCUCGUUCUAGAUCCCGCAACGCCGACGAUCAUCAUGAUUUCGACCACAUCCAAGUUUCCCUCCUCCUCUUAAGUUCCAUCUUUCUCUCUCUCUCUCUCUCUCUCUCUCUCUCUCUCUCUCUCUCCCUCUCUCACUGGGUUUGCAUAAAUUAAGAAUGUAGUUGUUGUCUGCAAAUGGAUUUCAAGCUCCAAGCUGUGAUGGGCCUGGUAGCCGUUCGUCUCAGUCAAUACCCGUAGCCGAACGACGGUAUUUUGUGAAUGACUGUUGGGCUAGCUUGGCGACAAGUACUACCGAUACACGUGCGCGGUGUGCUUGAGCCAGCUGGAGAUGGGGGACGAGGUGAGAGAGAUGGGGAACUGCUGCCAUAUGUUCCAUCCCGAGUGCAUGGACAGGAGAGAGUUCUGAGCAAAAUUCCGAGUCUUAACGCGGAGACAGUACCUCAAACGAUUUAGCCUUGAUAGAUCCGAACCGAAACUCGUCAUUGACUCGGACAAUCGUGUUGAGGUCACCACGAACUGUGAAGUCGCGAAUGGCCAAGAGCAGGUCCAUAAAGGAUGAUGCAGUUUGCUUGCUGCUACUGUAGUGGAAAGUGUUAUGAGUUGUACAUUUCAUGCUAGUCGGUAAGCGCAACGGCUACCUCAAGGGUGUCACCACCGAGAUCAACCACCGUCAAACCAUCACUGUCCUCACCCUCGACAAUGGCGCCAUGUCAUCCCGCUGAUGUGCAUGAAGAAUCUCGGAACAAGUCUGAUGCAAUGAAUGAUGAUUACAAUAAUUUGAUUCAGGAUUAUUAUGCAGUACUGCAGAAUGAUGGUGAUGUCAGUGAACGGGAUGGCACAACUCAGAUCUCGUGGUGGAGCUGGAAUACACCAACUGAUGUUCAGGCAGCAGAAAAAGAGAAAAGGCAGAGAGUGAAAAGAAGAAAGCAAAAGCGGAGAUAAGAUUAUUUUCUUAUUAUUAAAUCUAUUAUCAUUACUUGUCUGCCAUAUUGAUCAGGGUCAAGAAAACAAAAAGAAAAUCAGAAAGCAGAAAAGGAAAAGCCGAAAAGAAGAUGAUCCACUAUCCACUACUCCACUAUCCCACGGGAUAACAUGAUUAAAGAUAAGAAGAUGCCCACCAAGGUUUCCCGUCUCCACUUUCUGUUGGACCAGAAGAUGCCCAUCAAUAUGCUGAAAAUAUGUAAUUUAUUUUUCUUAUCUUUCGGAGAGAUCUGUAUAAACCCCAUCAGAGGGUAAUAGUACCUAAAAAAACGGCAAAGCCCAAAAUAAAUGGGCUGGAAGGUUGUGUAGAGGGCGAAGGCCCAUGAGCCCAAAAUAGCUCAAACCAGGUGAUCAAAAGUACGCCCAGUACUCCACAAUUAUUCGACAACCUGCCGCUAUUACCACCAACCAGGUGAUCAAAAGUACGCCCAGUACUCCACAAUUAUUCGGCAACCUGCCGCUAUUACCACCAACCAGGUGAUCAAAAGUACGCCCAGUACUCCAAAAUUAUUCGGCAACAUGCCGUUAUUACCACCAACCAGGUGAUGAAAUGUACAACCUGUACUCUAAUAUCAUUUGGCAACUAACCAUUCAUGCCACCAACCAGGUGAUGAAAUGUACAACCCGUACUCUAAUAUCAUUUGACAACUAGCCAUUCAUGCCACCAACUAGGUGAUGAAAUGUACAACCCGUACUCUCCUUCAUGCCACCAACCAGGUGAUCAAAAAUACGCCUAGUAUUCCAAAUUAUACAUGAGCAUUACUUAUGUCAUUCAUACAUAAACAUUUAUGAGCAUCACUCAUGACAAUCAUACAUAAACAUUCAUGACAAUCAUUCAUGUCAACAUUCAUGAGCAUCACUCAUGUUAACAUUCAUAAGCAUCACUCAUGACAACAUCCAUGAGCAUCACUCAUGUCAAUCAACAUAAACAUUCAUGAGCAUCACUCAUGUCAAUCAGCUUCAAAAGUUUCAUUUACAAAGCUCUAGCUUCAAAGCUUCACUUGCAAAGCUUCACUUGCAAAGCUUCACCUACAAAGCUUCAGUGCAAGGUAUACAAAUACCGCCUCCGAACAACCGCCACUUCGGCCCAUACAUGGAUUCAAUUUGAAGUCUCUAGCCAACAGACUCUAUUGACUGAAGACUUUGGGGACUACAUUAUGUACCAUAUAUUGGGCCUCAACUGGGCCUCAUGAAAAAUACUUAGGGGACUUAGCCCAUUACCUAUGUAUUGAUGAGCAAACCCUUAUUCUAUAAAAUGGACUCCCUCACUUUCAUCAGAAAGCACAUAUCACUUAUGUAUUGAGGAGCGAACCAUUAUUCUAUAAAAGAGACUCCCUCACCUUCAUUAGAAAACAACGUCACCAGCUGAGCAAUCGCCUCGCCGCGAGCAUCAACUCUAGCCCAUAAUUUAUGUAUUGAGGAGCGAGCCCUUAUUCUAUAAAAGGGACCCCCUCACCUUCAAGUGCCACAAGCCGAGCCAACCAAGGUAACAUAAGCCACAAGCUGAGCAGCCUCGCAACAUGUGCUACUUAUAGUUGAGCAUCAUUUCACUUUGAGCACCGCCUCAUAUCAAGUACCAGUUCAAGACGACAUCUAGUUACUUCGGCCUACACAUGGACUGAAUUUCAAGUCUCCAGCCAAAAGACUCUCUUGACUGAAGACUUAGGGGACUACUAUUUAUACCAUAUUUAGGGCCUCAUAUUUAGAUCUCGUACAAAUACUCAGGGGACUUAAAUGUAAUUAUGUGAUAAAGGAAGGGGCAAAUAGGUAAUAAGUGAAUAACCUUUAUUCUAUAAAAGGACUCUUCACCCUCACAAUGAGGAGAGGCCAUUUCCUAAGCCUCUCCUAGCUAGAGCAAAGCUCUCACACUCUCUCCCUCACAAAUACUCUCAGAGAAAUACAAUCAGUGUGGACGUGGCGCAAAUCUUGGGGUGAACCACGAUACUUCUCGUGUUAUUUACAUUUCUUGCAUAUUCACAGUCGGAUUUACGUUAUUCCAAGACCUCCGGUUUUGUGCAUCAACAUAUAUAAUUGUUAGUUUCCAUUUAUACCUUUCAUAAAGAGUUUUCUACAAUACGCCUAAAUUAGUGUGACGUUUAUAAGAUUUAUUGCAUUGAUAUAAAUUAUGAAGUUAUGCUACGUCAUACGGGAAGCACAAGUAUGCAUAUUAUUAUGCCUUAAUUAUAUUUAUGGUCGUAAAUAGUAUUAUGGUGACGUGAAUUAUCGAUUUACCAUUGCAUUAUGAUAUUUGCGUUAUCUGCUUAUCGUUGCUGCACAAGUGUUAGUACUCGCCCGGGUCAGGGCCAGCCUUUCACGUGUAUGUGCACAUCGCACCGUACACUCACUUUGGAUCCAUUGUAGGUGUCAGUCUUGUCCUAGAUUGUUAUAGGCAAUUAGGACUCGUAUGUGCUGCACAGAGCGCCAGUCUUCACGUGAUUGUAGUACUAGAACGUAUAUCAUUGUUACACCCAGUCAUGUUCAUGUCAAAAGAUCUUUACAUGAACUCGUGUGUCAACAUGUGUCGAUAAGCACUCGAUAUGAUAUGUUUUCUUAUGCGAGAUUAUGUGAUUUUGGACGUCAUGCGCUUAUUUACGAGAUAUGGUGUGGUAUUGAAUUCUUGAGAUAUUGUAGAUUACGGUAAGUAUUUUCUUACUAUAUGUGGUAUGUAUAUUUUGGAAACUAUAUUUGUUUUUACAGCGAGGGGUUAUUAUGUUUUCAAAAGGUUUUACUAAACUUUAUUUUUAGGCUCACUCACCCUUAUUUUUCGCCCCUCUAGGUUCUAGUAACUGAGCUUUCGUAUCGACGAGGAUUCUUGGCAAAUCAUAGUAUGGGAGAUUACCUACGAUGGUAUAAUUCUCAUUUCCCUCUACUGUACUUUACUUAUACUCUGACAUCACAUGUGAAUUGGGUUCAUUUCCGAAUUGGGUUCAUUUCCGCUCACAAGCGCACUCUCACAUUUAGGUACACUUAGGUUUAAAUUUACUCACUUCCACAUCACUACACUUUAUGGCUUCGUCACCGUCCUGGUGACGGCCAGCACAUCUCGAUUCGGAUUCCAAAUGGACAUUUCGGGUCGGGACGUGUCAGGAGGCCCAAGUAGAUAUAUGAUAUUCUCACAUAAGGUAAUGUUUGUUAUCCAAUUUAAUGUAUGAAACACAUGUAACACAAUAUUAACACAAGCAUCGAGUCAUUGAUCUGUCAAAAUCCUGGACAAACAUAACAAUGUCGUCUUACUAAUAACUUAAAGCCUCGUUUGGUAGCCGUUUUAAUUAGACCGUAAUUCAGAAAGUAGGCAUUCAUCAAUCUGUAUUACUCAAUUGUAUGUUACUGAUUUUAUGAAAGGCCAGAUUCUCAUCAGUUUCCUACUAUUUUUUCUUUAAUGUCGGUUUUAGAAGUAUACGUAACGAGUCGAUUUUAGUCUCACGAAAUAUUUUCAUCAUAUUUGAGUAAUGCAAACCAAUUAUUCGUAAAGCAAUAAUGUGUUUGGUUGGAGAGGAGAUGCUGCCGACAUAUCAGUUGAGCAAAAUUCCAAUCAUGUACUGCAAACACAUGCAACAUUUUGCUUCCAAGCUUUGGCUCAAAGGAGCAACCAAAUCGCUGCCAUGCGGCGUCUCUUACACAAUUGACCUUUUGAAAUCAACCAAUGUUGGAAGGGGCUAACGCUAAAGUGAUCGAACAAAUCCAACACUAAGUAUCAUUCUUAAAGAACGAUAACACGACUAAUGUUAAUUCGGUCUAACGUCACUCAUUUUCACUUUGUUUAACGAGAUUUUGAGUUCAAAUCUCGUGAACGACACUUACAGACAAGUUAGACAAGUUAGCUAGUGAUUGGAUUCCAAGCAGCAUGUGUGUAAUAGUUCAUGCAUGUGAAUGUUUAGGACCACAACUUUGUUUAACGAGAUUUUGAGUUCAAAUCUCGUGAACGACACUUACAGACAAGUUAGACAAGUUAGCUAGUGAUUGGAUUCCAAGCAGCAUGUGUGUAAUAGUUCAUGGAUGUGAAUGUUUAGGACCACAUCUACUUCUGAAUUGUGAUUGGGAUUAAUUUAAAACAUUAUAUUAUAAUCAUACUUAACCCCACAUCAUGAGGCAUGUAAAUUAAUCCAUGCUUCGGGGAAACAAUAUUUUUCUUUAAAUAUAGGGAAUUGUUAUUAGUACUCAAAAAAUCUUAUUUGGCACGCCAAAAUUUUUAUAAUUAGAAAGAAAAAUACAUUUGUGAGAAAUGUAAAAUGAGAUUUUUAAAUUGUUAAUAACAGAACUACAAAAAGUGACAUUCAAAUUCGAGUGGAAAGAAAAAAACACAAUGCUUUAAAAUAAAUUAACACAUAAUUGACUCCCUAUCAAGAUCCCUAAAUGCAUGCCCUCCUCAACGACUCGCCAUCUCUCCCAAUAAUUUAAUUAAUCUUUGAUGACCUAAUACUUGGUACCUUCAUUAAUUUACUGUUACUUGAUCACUCAUAUAUUUCAUGCAUUUAUACCAUCCAUUUCUAAAAUCUUUGUGAUGUUUUUGUGUUAAAAUUGUGGCAUUUUACCUUACCUUGUGUUAAUGUGAAAUUAAAUUUGUUUUAGGAUCAAUUUCAAUUAAAAAGAAGAAAUGAGAAGACACGGACAAAGAAUGACAGAGAGGAUGGCACACAGGAAGAAAUGGCAGACACACAACAGAUAAAAAGAAAAAAAAAACUGACAGAAGGGAGAGCUGAAGACGCAGGAAAAGAAAAAGAAACAGGAGCAGAAAAACAAAGAGAGGUGCGGAGAAAGAGGAGCAGAAAAACAGCAGGGAGAGCACGGAAAAAGGGCAGUGCGCAGGAAGGCAGAGCGCACGACAGAACCAGGCGCAGGGAAUGCGCAGAGAGAGGAAGAGCAGAGGAAGUCAGGAGCACGGGAGAAAGGAAAAGAAGUUAGGAGCAAUGGAGAGCUCGUCUUGUUAAAUCGGGUGUUUUCUUUCUUUGUUAUUUUGUUUUAUGGAUAAUUUCUUAUGUAUUAAUACAAGUAUGUGUAACUAAUUUAUUUUGCUAGAGUGAGGCCAUGAGCCGCAACAUGAAUACGUAGAUUUCUCUUUCAAUUGCUUAAGUGUUGUUACAUGCUUGAUUUGAUAUUUUCAAUCACUGAAUUAAACUAUCUAUGUACCUUGAUGCUUGAUCACCAUUAGGAUGCUUAGAAAAGUUAUCGGAUGCAAUUUUGAACAAAUGUCACGUUAAAAUUAGUUGUGCUUCUUGUGAUUGAGGAUUGUACUAUCCUAAGGUAAAUAUCAUGCUCUUAGGGAUUACAUGGUUUAACAAAAGGAUUUUCACAAAGAUUAAUGAAUCACUCAUGUUUAUAUUUAAUCCAAAUGUCAUGGAUAAGUUGCAUGUAGUGGUAUGCGUUUUAGCUUGAAUGUCACAAGUAAAACAUACACAAGGAAAAUCCAACCUUCAAAGCAUGUGUGUUUUUGAUCGGAUCAUAUUUAUAUAUAUUUUUACUUCGAAAUCACUCGUCUUUCUUAGUUAGUUCAUUAUAUUUUUGAGUUAUUUACGUUAUUUUUGUGUUUAUAGGAUUUGUUAUGCAAAGAAAAUAAAAAUAGCACAAAAGAAUCUUGCUGCCAAAAAUACUUUCCAGCUUAUACCUUGAAAAGAGCACUAAAGCCACACACAUGAUCACCGCAUGCGUGUAGUCAUUCCAUUACUGCAGAAUCUCAUCAGUCAUCAAGUGCACAUGCUCAGUGAACAUUACUGUUCCUUUACUGUAUUAUUCUGUUUGUGGCCUACCGCCUACUUUAUAUUCUUUUGACCUUUUUCCGUUGUUGAUGUAGUUGUCAUGUUGUAUAUAUAUGAUUAUGCUAACUUCGCCCAACAUGCUUAACAUGGUCUCAUUGAUACCACUGAUCGUGAAAUUUGUGAGUGUUUGACAGGUUGCUAUGUCGAGAACAUGAGAAAGGAAAAAGGGCUGAUGGCAUUCUUCUGUUAUGAUGGAAAGAGGCGCACAAAAGAAAGAUAAUAAUAAAUAAAAGAAACAAAAGAGGCAGCGCCAGCGAGAGAAGAAAAACACGGCCUUGCCAGCGUGAACCUCGGGGGGGGGGAGAAAAACCAAGAGCACGAGCAGCAAGCUGCCUUAGGCACAGAGAAAGACAGAAGGCACCAAGCUGCCUUAGGCAGCGAGAAAGAAAGGAGAGGAAUUCAAAAGCUGCCUUGCAGCGUGUAUCCAAUCAGAGGAGGUGUGAGCCUCGGGGGAGAUUAGCAGUGCGCACAGAAAACAGAGGGCGCUGGGCAGACAGAGCACUGAAGCACUCUCCUCUUUCGGUUAAAUCUUUCCAAACUUAUAUUUUAUUUCUGUUUUAAUAAUGUGUAACUAAAUUUAUUUUGGCUAGAGGUUAAUUCAAAGCCAUGAAUAUAUUUGUAAUAUGAAUUGAUUACCUUCAGUUGUGAUUUCUGAGUUGUGAUUUAAUUUUCUUAACUGCUUGAUUGAUAACUUAUUUUUGUAUGUCGAUUAAGAAUGCAUACUUAAUUUACAUGCAUGAAUUUGAUGCUAGAAUAUAAGUGAAUUUCACCUAAUCGUUAUGAACUUAUGAGUAGUGAAGGUUGUUAUCCACAAUCGUGUUAAGUGAAUUCUUGGCAAGAGUAUCAUGCUUUUCAUAGUUACGAAUGCCUCGUCAAUGCUUAUAGUUUUCACAAAGUUUAAUGAUCUUUGAUUGUAUCUCUAUUGUGCUUUUCACGUAGGGGACUUUUGAAGAAUGUUUUGAAUUGUUGUAUGCGUUUUUCCGUCCAAUUCAAUAACUUAAGGAAAACUUGAAGAUUAAAAAAGUGUUGUUCACGGUUAAUCUGAAGUAUUGAGAUUUACAAUUUAUUGAAAUAACAACUGAAAAUCAAUUUAGGUUGCAUAUGUGUCAUGUGUGGAGAAGAACCCUCUAGCUAGUCCAUCACCUAUCCUUUCACCUUAAUUUCAUGCUUUUGUCAAUUCUGUAAUUUAUUUAAGUUUAAUUUACUUCUCGUCAAAACCAAACCCCCCCCAUUAUUAAAUUAUAUUAUUUAGUUAGUUUUCAUUGUUGUUAGUCUUUUAAUUCAAUUUCCGUCCAUUUCAGUUCCUAGUGUCUAAUUUGAUUGUUUUCAUUAUUUUGAGUCAUUCUAAGUGUGUUUCGAGUUAUUAGAGUUUUUAGCCUAGUUUUGUGUCCUUGAGUCUUGUUUAAUAAUUCUAAAUUAAUUUAGAAUAGAUUAGCAAUCCCUCCUAAUCCCCGGCCUAGAACGAUACCCUACUUACAUACUUUACUACAAUUGAUAAAAAUAGGGUUUAAUUUGUGUGCUUAUAUAUUACACAUCAGUUUUCAAUUAUUUAAGCAAUUGGAAUAGCUACGUAGGAGUGUUGUUGGUAAAGGUUGAACUCUAGCACCUUGUCAAUCUAAUUUUCUUAAAUUAAUUGUAUUAUCUUGAGUUUAUAUUUUUAAUUGUUUUGUUAAGUUGAAUCAUUGUUCCUAUAAGCAAAUUCCCAUUUUAGAUAUUUGUUUAAUUCACAUCCAGUAAUAUUUAGUUUCGUCAAAUUAGUUUGGUUCUUAGAGUUAAAUAAGUUAAAUACACAAAAACUCGUAAAUUGUUUAUAUCAGUCCCUGAGGAGAUCGACCUUACUUGAGUCAUUCUAUACUACAAACACUUGUUCUCUUGCAAGAAUUUUCUAUGGUUUAACCCUUUGUUUUACAAGUGGUAAAAUCGCUAUCACUACUUGUUGCCAUUUCCUCGUCUCCAACUUUUUUAUAUCCUUUAUUUUUUGGAACUUAGAUCGAUCGACGCAGUCACACAGGCAUUUCGGUGGAAAAAAAUAUACAAACUCAAGGGUGACACAUGUUUAAAAUUCAAAACUUGAACCAUAACUUACCUACUUUGUUAAUUUUUUGGUUUGACUCAACCAAGCAUUAUGUUACCCAUUUACAAGUAAAUUUAAUAAUGAUUGCUUACUUGAAACGGAGAAGUAAUAAAUCUGAAAAGUUAGGAAUAAGAAUGAAAUGGUACAUGGUCACCUAUUUCAUCAAUGUAAUUUUUGGUUUUUCAGGUAUUAGAUUAUAGAUUAAUGUAAUGUGAAACUUGUAUCCUUUUUUAUUCUGCAUGUGGCAGUAAACGAAAAAAGUAAUGAAUUCGGGAAGUUAAGAAUAAGAGAGAAGAAAAUGGAACAAGAUCACUUAAUUCACGUAGUCAAUGUAAUUUAUGGAUUUUCAAAUAUUAAACUACUAAUUGUAAUGUGAUCGUGUGCGUGUCAGUAAAAAUUGAGAAAGUCAGGAAUCUGAAUAAUUUAAAUACAUAUUCAAUGUAAACCUACCAGAAACCUCUAGAAAUCAAGAUUGUACACAAGGGUUAAUUAAACUUAAUAAUUAUUGUUAGCUGAGCUAAUCAAGGUGGAUAUAUAAUUGAAUAAACUAUGAUUGAUAUCUUACCUAAAUGCUAUGUGUGAGUAUUGCUUUCAUCACUUGCUGGCAUUGCUCUCUCUGUCUUGAAGAUAUAUGGUUUUAUUUUAAUCUCUCAAUUUGAUCCCCCACCAUGCAGCAUAUAAUCUUCAUAUAACAAAAGACUAGUCUCAAGUCUUCACGACCACCUUUCUGGUUCGACAUUUCUGUUUCCUCUCCCAAUUUUCUAUGUUCUCCUGCUUCUGAAGGAGUGAGAAGCAACAUGGGAAGAAACAAACAAGAAAAAGACACAAUGAAUGGCAAACUCAAGGUACAUAUAUACGUGUGUGUGUGUGUGCGCGCGUGUGUUUCCAAAAACUUUUCUCUGUAACUGUAUUAUUACUUCAAAGCUGCUCCUAAUUGGCAUAAGGAAGUGAUUUACGUUCAUUCAUUCUCUCCGUCUGCACAGCCCGUUCAUUUCAGUCGCUUGGUUCUCUUUGGUUAUUCAAUCCAAGGGCCAGAGAUAAAUAGGGGUGUGCAUGAAGAGAAAAUGAGUGUUUAGAAAUCACUUUCUGUUGACAUAUCUUGGCAUAGUGAAGUUGGCUAGAGCAUUAUGCUCUCCCUCUUCACUCAAGUUCAAAUUGUUCUCCCCGUAGUUGAGGUAAUUAGAAUAAGAAAAUAUAUUGUUGCUAAAUGUGAGCUGUAAAUUUCCAAUUCUCUGCUCUUUAGGAUAUAGUAAAAGCUGAACUCCAAGGACUGGCUUCAGGUUCUUCACCAAACUCACCAACUGAAGAUGGAAGACCAAGCAGCAUAAUAGUUAAGGUCAAUGAAUUUUGUCCCAUACUUUUUUCCUUUUUUUAAGCGUGGCGGUCACGUCAUCAUGUGGUAUUACUACUAAUUUACAUGUUAACUGAGUUCCGCCAUACUUGUUUGAAUCACAUAAGGCAAACACCAUAUUUCCUGCUCACUUGAUAGCAGAAGCCAUAUCCUCACCCAGAGGCCUUGAUCUGAGAUGGUCAGGUCCCAUCACACCAAGUGAGAUGCUCUAUGUUCAGCAAUACAUCUUCGCAAAGUACCCAGAAUACUACAAUGAUGUCAAAACUAGACAUCGAUAAUCUUUCGAUCAACGAAGAAACCUCAGGAACUCCACCCCAUGACAAUAAGCUUAAGUCACCCAAGAGUGUGACACCAAAAGAGUUGUCCCCAUUCAGCAGCACUCACUCAGACCUGGACAGGACUAAGAUGGAACCCUCAAGACUGCUCGACAUCCUGACCAAGAAAUCCUCGUUCCAGGGUAACUUUGUAUCCAUUCCUGAGGUCCAAGCAAGGAAUAGGGCAUUGAAGCAAUGUGGGUUGCAAGGGGAGGACUAUUUAGUCCUUUUCAUGUCAAAUUACAAAGAUGUGAUGGUGAUGAUUAGUGAGAGCUACCCUUUCUUCAUAGGAAAUUACUAUAUAACCAUUGUGGGAGAGAAGACUGAUCAGUCUGAUCCCAUAAGGGACUUUGCAAGUACCAAAGAAUCUAGGGUUAUUUCAGCACCAGAAACUUGGUUGGAUUUGAGGAUAAAAGGGUCACAACUUAGCCAGUACUUUAGGAGAAAGUGCAAGUAUAGUCCCAGAGGACUAUUUUCCAAUCUUGCAACUGUCAAUGAGACUAAAUACUCCAUGCAUUGGAUCUAGGCCUGGCAAACGGGUCGUGUCAGUCCUGUUCGUGUCGUUUUCGUGUAACACCUGUUAUCUUAACGGGUCGUGUCGUGUCACACCCGUUAUCUUAACGGGUCCUUAACAGGUCGUGUCACUUUACCCAACGGGUAAAGUGACCCGACCCGUUAUGACCCGUUAUGACCCGUUAAGAAAAAUAUAUUUUUUUUCUUAAAUUUGCACAUGCCACACAUUGCCACAUAAAUAUUACUUCAAAACAUUAAAAUACAUUUGUCGUUUAAGUACUACAUCUACACUAAAAAAUAAGAGCCUAAUAAAAAAAUAAUACAUACACUACUAAUCUAUUACAAAUUUUAAAUGUGCAAGGAUAUGCAAAAUGAAACAGUUUUUGUUUUCAAGGUUGUGAAAUCUUUCUCAAAAGUUUAAACCUGAAUUUACAGAAUCCUCGAUUUACAUCGAUCAUCAUGAAAUUGCAUUGGAACUUUGGCUUGAUCUAUUGCCUUCAAGAGUUAUGUUGAUGAUGUUUUCAGUAAGGUUUUCCACGUCAUAACUCUCUUCUGCAUAAACUAAGCAUAGAAAAAACCAAACAUUAAAAAUCAUUCAAAUUAUGAGAAGUUUACCAAAAUAAUUAUGAAAAAAAAUAAAACAAUAGUACUAUACCAUACUUUUAUUAAGUAUAAACAUAAGAUUUUGUGGUAUCCACUAGUGUAAAUAUUUUAAAUUGAAGAUCGAAUUCAAUCAUUGUAUUCAUAUAAGGUCAAGGAGUGUAGUUGUAAAAAAUCAUCAAAAUCGGAGUUAAAUUAACCGUUAAAUCGUGAUUUUUCGUUUAUAACUGUCGAAAAGUUUUGUCCCGUUACUUGCUCUCUAAAUGUUUGUUUUUUGCAAUUUUUGGCGUAUGCGAUCUCGAAAUAUAUACAAACAUGUUUGACGGUUGGAUCAUUGAAACUAGUUUCGUAGAAUGAGUAUCCCAUCAAAACAAUAGAUUCACUAAUACUUAAGAGUUUAUUCAUACUUUUAUUAAGUAUAACAUAAGAUUUUGUGGUAUCCACUGGUGUAAAUAUUUUAAAUUGAAGAUCGAAUUCAAUCAUUGUAUUCAUAUAGGGUCAAGGAGUGUAGUUGUAAAAAAUCAUCAAAAUCGGAGUUAAAAUGACCGUUAAAUCGUGAUUUUUCGUUUAUAACCGUCGAAAACUUUUGUCCCGUUACUUGAUCUCUGAAUGUUUUUUUUUUUUCACUUUUUGGCGUAUGCAAUCUCGAAGUAUAUAUAAACAUGUUUGACGGUUGGAUCAUUGAAACUAGUUUCGUAGAAUGAGUAUCUCAUCAAAACAAUAGAUUCACUAAUACUUAAUUGUUUAUUCAUACUUUUAUUAAGUAUAAUAUAAGAUUUUGUGGUAUCCACUAGUGUAAAUAUUUUAAAUUGAAGAUCGAAUUCAAUCGUUGUAUUCAUAUAUGAUCAAGGAGUGUGGUUGUAAAAAAGCAUCAAAAUCGGAGUUAAAAUGACCGUUAAAUCGUGAUUUUCGUUUAUAACCGUCGAAAACUUUUGUCUCGUUACUUGAUCUGUGAAUGUUUGUUUUUUUUAAUUUUUGACGUAUGCGAUCUCGAAGUAUAUACAAACAUGUUUGACGGUUGGAUCUUUGAAACUAGUUUCGCAGAAUGAGUAUCCCAUCAAAACAAUAUAUUCACUAAUACUUAAUAGUUUAUUCAUACUUUUAUUAAGUAUAACGUAAGAUUUUGUGGUAUCCAGUAGUGUAAAUAUUUUAAAUUGAAGAUCGAAUUCAAUCGUUGUAUUCAUAUAUGAUCAAGGAGUGUGGUUGUAAAAAAUCAUCAAAAUCGGAGUUAAAAUGACCGUUAAAUCGUGAUUUUUCGUUUAUAACCGUCGAAAACCUUUGUCCCGUUACUUGAUCUCAGAAUGUUUGUUUUUUGUAAUUUUUGACGUAUGCGAUCUCGAAGUAUAUACAAACAUGUUUGACGGUUGGAUCUUUGAAACUAGUUUCACAGAAAGAGUAUCUCAUCAAAACAAUAUAUUCACUAAUACUUAAUAGUUUAUUCAUACUUUUAUUAAGUAUAAUAUAAGAUUUUGUGGUAUCCACUAGUGUAAAUAUUUUAAAUUGAAGAUCGAAUUCAAUCAUUGUAUUCAUAUAAGGUCAAGGAGUGAAGCUGCAAAAAAUCAUCAAAAUAAGAGUUAAAAUGACCGUUAAAUCGUGAUUUUUCUUUUUAUAACCGUUGAAAAGUUUUGUCCCGUUACUUGGUCUCUGAAUGUUUGUUUUUUGCAAUUUUUGGCGUAUGCGAUCUCGAAAUAUAUACAAACAUGUUUGACGGUUGGAUCAUUGAAACUAGUUUCGUAGAAUGAGUAUCCCAUCAAAACAAUAGAUUCACUAAUACUUAAGAGUUUAUUCAUACUUUUAUUAAGUAUAACAUAAGAUUUUGUGGUAUCCACUAGUGUAAAUAUUUUAAAUUGAAGAUCGAAUUCAAUCAUUGUAUUCAUAUAGGGUCAAGGAGUGUAUUUGUAAAAAAUCAUCAAAAUCGGAGUUAAAAUGACCGUUAAAUCGUGAUUUUUCGUUUAUAACCGUUGAAAUGUUUUGUCCCGUUACUUGAUCUCUGAAUGUUUUCUUUUUGCAAUUUUUGGCGUAUGCGAUCUCGAAGUAUAUAUAAACAUGUUUGACAGUUGGAUCAUUGAAACUAGUUUCGUAGAAUGAGUAUCCCAUCAAAACAAUAGAUUCACUAAUACUUAAUAGUUUAUUCAUACUUUUAUUAAGUAUAAUAUAAGAUUUUGUGGUAUCCACUAGUGUAAAUAUUUUAAAUUGAAGAUCGAAUUCAAUCAUUGUAUUCAUAUAAGGUCAAGGAGUGUAGCUGCAAAAAAUCAUCAAAAUCAGAGUUAAAAUGACCGUUAAAUCGUGAUUUUUCUUUUUAUAACCGUCGAAAAGUUUUGUCCUGUUAAUUGAUCUCUGAAUGUUUGUUUUUUGUAAUUUUUGACGUAUACGAUCUCGAAGUAUAUACAAAUAUGUUUGACGGUUGGAUCUUUGAAACUAGUUUCAUAGAAUGAGUAUCCCAUCAAAACAAUAGAUUCACUAAUACUUAAUAGUUUAUUCAUACUUUUAUUAAGUAUAACAUAAGAUUUUGUGGUAUCCACUAGUGUAAAUAUUUUAAAUUGAAGAUCGAAUUCAUUACUUGUAUUCAUAUAGGGUAAAGGAGUGUAGUUGUCAAAAAUCAUCAAAAUCGGAGUUAAAAUAACCGUUAAAUCGUGAUUUUUCGUUUAUAACCGUCGAAAAGUUUUGUCUCGUUACUUGAUCUCUGAAUGUUUGUUUUUUGCAAUUUUUGGCGUAUGCGAUCUCGAAGUAUAUACAAACAUGUUUGACGGUUGGAUCAUUGAAACUAGUUUUGUAGAAUGAGUAUCCCAUCAAAACAAUAGAUUCACUAAUACUUAAGAGUUUAUUCAUACUUUUAUUAAGUAUAACAUAAGAUUUUGUGGUAUCCACUAGUGUAAAUAUUUUAAAUUGAAGAUCGAAUUCAAUCAUUGUAUUCAUAUAGGGUCAAGGAGUGUGGUUGUAAAAAAUCAUCAAAAUCGGAGUUAAAAUGACCGUUAAAUCGUGAUUUUUCGUUUAUAACCGUCGAAAAGUUUUGUCCCGUUACUUGAUCUCUGAAUGUUUGCUUUUUGCAAUUUUUGAUGUAUGCGAUCUCGAAGUAUAUACAAACAUGUUUGACGGUUGGAUUGUUGAAAUUAGUUUCGUAUAAUUCGUAUCCCAUGAAGUUCAAUGGUGUGGUGUGUGUGUGUAUAUAUGUAUUUAUUUAUUAAGUAGAUUUAAAUCUAUUUAUUUUGUAUGUAUAAUUAUUAUAGUUUUUAGGGGUAUAAAAUUUAAUAUAUAUAUAUAUAUAUAAUUAUUAUAGUUAAUAUUUUGGGUAUAAUUAUUAUAGUUAAUUUAAUAUAUAUAUAUAUAAUUAUUAUAUAGUUUUUAGGGUAUAAAAUUGUUAAAAUUAAUAUAUAUAUAUAUUAUUAUAGUAAUUUUUUUUAGGGUUAUAAAUUAUUAAAUUAAUAUUCUGCUUAUCGUGUAUCGUGUUACCCACGUGUAUACCCGAACAAACCCGUUAUCUUAACAGGUGCUUAUCGGGUUACCCGAUAACGACCCGUUUCGUUAUCGUGUCGACCCGAACACCUGUUAAUUUCGUGUCGUGUCGUGUCGGGUUAUCGGGUCGUGUCGGGAAUUGCCAGGCCUAAUUGGAUCUCGAAGGCACAUAGGAACUCAUGGCAUGUCCUGCUUGACGCAACCGGCUUGGUUUUGGGGGAGGAUCGGUUAGCACUUGCGCUGUACCGGCUGGUCAGGAGAAAAACAUUUGACACUACGACUUGUUGGAAAUUUGAGUAGUUUGAGUAGAAGUUUCUUUGUCCCACAUUGACCAUUCCCAAAAGAUUUUAUCACUUUAUAAGGCUUUGUCAUUUAUAGAAAGUGAUUAGAGUAAUAGGCCUAGAGACUAAAAUUGGGCUAACCCUUAGGGGUUGGGCUUUGGGGUGUACUAAUUAAUUGGUAAUUAAUAUAUAAUUAAUAUAUAUUUAAUUGUCAAAGAUGGAAAUUAAUUAAUAUUUUUCAGAAUUAAUUAAUUAUUUUUAAUUUCGAAUUUAAAUUAUUUAUUUAUUUAUUUUUACCAACAAACUCAUCUUUUCAGAUAAAGUCUAAAGUGUGAGAACGCAGAAACAAAAACACCAUUUUUAGCAGAUGUCUCCCAACAGAUACAUCCCUUCCUCAUACCUGUUGCAAACAGGUAUAAUCACAUUAUAUAUAAAUCCAUCUGCAUGGCAUUUAAAACACACAAAAAAAAUCAUAAAUCUUCUCCUGCAAUCAUAAACAUCCUUUCUGAGAGAACCACAUUAAUAUUCGCCAGAAGUCAAUUUUUCGGUGCUGAAAUUUCUGACUUAGAUCGUUGAAUCCUGGUGAAGCAGACGUCCGUAGAACUACAAGCACUGAGUAGGGGCGAAUUUUCUGUUUCAAGGACAUUGUGGUACGCAAGCCUCGAUCUUUUGUUACUCUGCUUAAUUAAUAUUUCAUCUUGUUGAGUAUCUGGAAUAUAUUUAUUCGUAUUUAUUAUUAGCAUAUUUAUUUUAUUGCGGAUUGUUGACAUAUAUACAGCCUACGGUUUCAUCAUGGUAUUGCUUUUAUUAACAAUAAACAUGUGUAAUUUUUAUUUCUUUCUUAUUCCUGUGAACUCUAAUUUCAUGAACCUGAUUGUACGUGUUCCCAUUAUCAAUGGAGCGUAGUAAGUCUUUCUUUUUCUUUUUCCUACUCUUAUUUUUCAAAACCUAAUAGUCUUGACAUAGGGCAUGUUUUAGUUUCUUCGUUAAGAAGGAAAGAAUUUGUUUGGUAGAGCGUUUACCUUUUGGUUUAUUUCGUCAAAUUUUUCUCUGAACUUGGAGCAACUACUGGUUUCCUCCUUAAACUUUCAUUUGGGCCUAUUCUUCUCCCUCCACAAUCAUUAUAAACGGUUAGUUUCCAACUUAACGGUUAUGUUUACACACAGUUUAUUCAAUUUUUUUUGCUAAAAAGUACACAUGCAAAUCAUUAGGUGUUAUUUGCUAUAUAUUUAGGGUAAAUUAAUCAAAAUAGAAGUCUAGAGGAAAAUUAGCAAUGCAUUACAAGUUAUGGGGCAAAAUCAUAGAAAUAUUCUUACCAUUACAUCGUAAUUUUCUGUUCAAAAAUGGUACAAUAAACAAUACAUAGUCAUCGACUAGAAUAUUUUUCAACAAAAAACUACGGUAUAAUGGUAAGCAUGCCCUAAGUCCUCGAACUUGUUCCAGGGUAUCACCCACACACAGAGGCGGAGCCACAGUGGGGUCAAUGGGGUCGCACGACCUCUUGGAAGCCAUGGAAAUAACCUUAGAGGUUCUUUGGAGCUGCUGAUGCGACCUCUUGGAGCUGCACACCACGUGUUCGAUGAAAUGUCUGAAAGAAGAAAAAGACUUCGGUUGCAGGUUGAAGAAGAAGGAAGGGUGGGUCAACAUUUGUAACCCAUUCUUUCCAGCCCGAUGGGUUCAAGAAUGAUCCUAUCUCAGACUGCAUGAUGACUGUGGUGGAGUAAUCCUUCCAAGGCAUGCCCAGAUAUGUUUGAGCUAUGAGAUUACUGUCUAGCGCAGAGAAUCUGCAAUUUUGGAUUGAAAUGCCGGUGUUCUGAUUCGGGUCCUUUUUGCCUUAAGUUGUGAUGGUGUUGAAUUGGUUUUCCAUAGGUUGCCUGGGCUGGAUGUUGCAGUCCUGGAAAACUACAGCUGCAUUGCCGAAAAUGAAGUCUAUGGUGCCGGUGAUAUCACAUUCCCGAUAGAAUUGCCGGUGAUGUCACAUUCCCGAUAUGCAUGCCGUUUCUGUUAAAAAAAAAUUCGCGCUGCGCGCGCUAUCCUUAUUGACCCCCCAAACAUUAUUUCCUGGAUCCGCCACUGCCCACACAUUACGUUUACGGGUGACUAGUCAAUCAUUCCAGUUGACCAAAGAGGUUUACAAGACAAGUAACAAUGAAUCAAAAGGACCAUACAACCUUAAAAACUUUUAAAAGUCAUAAAGUACCUAACAAAAUGAGAACUCACCAUUAUUUUUCUAUUGAGUGGUCAAUAACAUUCCAGGAUUAUCAUUAAUUAUCUUUCUUUUCACCGAAUAUUUCAGAGACAGGCGACUAACCAUUUCAUCAAUUUUUUUUUUUGGUAAAACAUUUCAUCAAUUUAUCAGUGUUUAUAUAUGUUGAUCCUAAAAACUAUCAAGCCUACGUGGCCCGCAGAUCGAGUUACUAAUGAGAUUAUGUCAAGGCAGAGCUCACCGUUCUUCGUGUGACCAAGAUCAUCAGUGGAGCUCCCAACAAGCUCUUCAAGAUUAAGGUUGUGAGGCUGUCAAUCGCCCAAAUAUUGACGAUGGAGUCACAAAAGUCAUCACCAAUCCAAGUCGUCCCCAAAUAUAGUUUCAAUCGUGGUCCAAUUCAAUGAAGGGUGUAAAGAUGGGUGUCUUGAGAAUUUUUUUUUUCUUUAGAAAAUAGACGGUGAAGGCUACCAUAGAUGGAGGUAGAAGAGUAUGGGUUGGGAUCAUAGGUGAAUGCGGGAUCGAGUUUUUGGGUCGGCAACUUUUUUAAUUAAUUAUCAAAUUAUUAGACCUAGUUCUAAUUUAAUGUUGCUUUAGUUAGAUUCGUAGGUCUAUUUAUGUGCCGCAUCAACACAUAACUCAAUUUUUGACAGAAUUACAACGAAAUGACCACAUUGAUUUACAACACCUAUUGUAGAACCAUAUCGAUUUUUAAUUUCAGAGACCAUUCGUAAUUAAAAUGACCUACUAAACUCAUUUAUGUGUCAUAUCAGCACAUAACAAAUUUUUUUACAAAACUAUGAUGGAUAAACCACAUUCAUUUGUAGCACCUAUUUUCAGAAAUUAUAUUUUAAAUUUCAAAGACCAUUUUGAUGGUGUCCAUCAAUUUCAUGGAUCAUUUGUAAUAAAAUCCAUUAUAUUUAUUAAUAUUAAAAAAAAACUAAUUGUUAUGAGAUUACGAUUAACUAUCACACUUUUUCCAUUAUCAUACUAAAACGGUUUAUAAUUUAAUAAAAAAGGUAAAAUUAUUUCUUUAGAAGGAAAAGAGAGAGCAGCCAGUAGUAAUGUGUAACGCUUCUCCACCUAUCCAAUCGCCGUUUCGACCGCCGACCGAUUUAGCAAAAACGUUCGCCGUCACCGUACGUCACGUUAGCGGCGGAGGGGAUCUCAAAGUGCCAGAGCCUCCCCACCGCCUUAACCAAGAACUUCCUGCAGAGGAACUCCUCUGCGAACGCCUUCUCCACCUUCCGAUCCACAUCGUGAAGGAACACGUGCGUCACACCGGAUCCCCGCCUCCUCCUCGCCAUGACAGCCGCAGAGAAUAUAGCCCCCAUCCGCCCCGGCGCCUCCGGGAAAUACCCGCGCGGCGCAUCGACCAUGAUCAGGUCCCACUCCUUGUCGUACACCUCGUCCGGCAGGUUGUCCAGCGCCAGCCUGCACUCGGUAUUUCCGCGCAGGACAGCCUCGGACGGGGAGCACGACCGUAGGGAGCGGUACGAGGAGAGGAGCUCGUCCGCCUCUUUGAGCUGCGUGCGGUAGUGCACCGUCUCGGCCCGUAGCUGGGGGACGUCCUUAAGGACGGUCUGGACCCACUUGGGGUCCUCCUCCAGGAAGAGCGUCGUGCCUCGUGGAUUCAGGGAGGCCCACAUGAGGGAGUCGAAGCCUAGGCCGAACACGAGGAAGUUGCAGGGGGAGCGGGACUUGAGGACCUCGAAGGACACAGCGAUCUCGUCCCGCGACUGCUGCGGGGUCUGGCGCGACGUGGCGUAGUGGAGGAUGGCCUGGAGCUGUAUGGCCACCG